rfam:Sus scrofa chromosome 7.
CCUUCGAUAGCUCAGUUGGUAGAGCGGAGGACUGUAGGUACCAUGGAGUUGGUUAUCCUUAGGUCGCUGGUUCGAAUCCGGCUCGAAGGA